AAAAGAAAAAAAAAUAAUUUAGAAUAUGGCGGCAAACUCUCAAAUAUAUGGAGGCAAAACUUUUGCACGCCUCUUCACUCUCUCGCCGCUCUCGGUUCCCCAUCUCGACGCAUACAGGAUUCUCGUGUAAAAGUAAAAUAGCGUCACAGCAUGGCUCUGAAGCAAGCCAGUAUGCUUUUAUGCUUGGAAGGGGAAAUGCAUACAAAUUCUUGGGGUAAAUCCGAAUACGAUCACAGCUUAUACACACUUGAGCUGGAUAUUCGGGAUGCGGUUCUCCUUCUUGUAGACCUCCCUUUACGACCCGAGGAUAGAACACUCGGAGGGCUGAUAAAGCGCACCAUAAUUUUGCUUCCAUAGACUGUUGCAUUUCAACAUAAAUGUUGUCUUUCAGCUGUCGUGGAGAUUCGAACUUCUGAUGCUCCAUAUAGAACCCUUCUGCUUUACCAAUGCGUCAUGCCCGUGAGGGCAACGUCAAUGCUUGUUUUGCUUGCAAUGAACGUAGUAGAUUCCAUGUUUUCUAUUUUCAUGAAGACAGAGAGCAUGUCAAAUGUGAUAAAGCAACUUAAAAGUUACUUUUUCAAUAGGUAUAUCUCUAAAUAUU